ensembl:lncRNA
AUGCUUGCUAUCUUUUUCUCACCAUCAUGGAUGCCCAGUGUCCCAUUUUUAAGCAAUCUUUGAGUCACGGGGUGGUGUAAGAGACUAUUCUUUUAUAUCAUUGACUCAAAGUUUGCUGAGGAACAAGUCCAGGCAAGUCCUGGGCAAAGGCAGAGAAAUCUUUUGUCUUGAGGACACUGAUGGACAGGUCCUGGCUAAGGAUUGUGAAAUCCUCUAAGGAGCACAGAUGGACAAGGCCAGGGGCAUCGAGAGAGAGAUAAGCUGCUGCUAAUGGCCGGGAAGCGGUCUUUUUGUGUGGACUUAUCUCAAGGAAAAUGGCCAUCUCAGGAGGUAUGCACAUGACUCUUGCUCAAGCACCCAGGGAUGUCACGUAGGCAGGAGAAAAUGGAGGAUAAAAGAGGGUCCAACAACCAC